GAAACACUAUCGUUCAGCACAAUCCCUGACGACAUCAAAAGCUCUGCAAAGUGUUUGGCAUCAAUACCUUUUUCAUUGUUCAUCUUGAAAUCAAUGCCGCUUUGGCGCAACAACUCAAUUGAAUCAUUCGCAAAAACAUCCUCGUUAGGGUUGAAUUCACGGAAAUUGAAUUGCCAAAUACAGUAUUUGUCGGUUCCACACUUAGGCAAGUUGCCAUUCUCAUCUGAAAAGGUCAGCCCUAACUGAAUCAACUUCAACAUAUCCACGUUAUCCUUGAGCGUUUGGUAAUGGUAAUCGUUGCUGUUCUUAAAAUUCCCGACCGGCCGGAUUACCACUCCGGGAAACUCCGUAUCCAUGGCAACAAACGGAAAAUCAUCGACUAUUUCACGCAUCAAUGCGAACUCUUCCUCCAGAUUGUCAAACCAAACCUCUCGAAUGUGGAUUGAAUCAGUUUUUGGCAAAAUCGACAUUUUCGCUUUUGCCAAAAAAAAGUACGUUCAAUCAAAUGAAAAAUCUAUCUUCACCAAUUCCGAUCAAGCAAAUGCUGAAUCGCCGGAAUGAAUACAAACGGAUCUCUUCGAAUCCCUCUAAUCAAAAUCAGAUCUUUCAAUAUGAAUAAAAAUUCAAACUUUCAACCAUGAAUGAUGAUUGAAACGGAUCCAACAACUCCGAAACAUUAAUCAGCAGAGAUAAAUCGACUUGAAAUAUUAGGGUUUGAACAGAAACCAAAUGAGGCGGCGAAGAAGGAUAAGAAUAUGAACUUUUAGGGCACAAUCAAAAAACUUUCUUUUUGUU
rnacentral:misc_RNA from 1 species